CAGGAUCAUUCAGUCCGUUGUGAUUCAGCAUAAAAGACGUUUUUAUCAAAAGUUAAUGUGUGGUGAGAUCAACUGGGCCAUGGUGUCAAAAGAUAACAUUUGCAACAAACGUCAGGAAAGAUCCUAUGUUAGUUGUAUUAGUGAAAGACACUCCCACAGUGCAGUCUAUUUUGAAGGUUCCAUGUACAUAUUUGGUGGCUGUACUUCAACUAACACUACAUUCAAUGAUCUUUGGAAGUUUGAUCUGACCACCAGGCAGUGGAUUCGACCAGUGGC
rnacentral:sRNA from 1 species